GAUCAUGGCUCAGGAUGAACGCUGGCGGCGUGCUUAACACAUGCAAGUCGAACGAAGCAGCUUCUGCUGCAAGAGAGUUGACUUAGUGGCGGACGGGUGAGUAACGCGUGGGUAACCUGCCUCAUACAGGGGGAUAACAGUUGGAAACGACUGCUAAGACCGCAUAACCCGCUAGUGUCGCAUGACACGGACGGAAAAUAUUUAUAGGUAUGAGAUGGGCCCGCGUCUGAUUAGCUAGUUGGUAAGGUAACGGCUUACCAAGGCGACGAUCAGUAGCCGACUUGAGAGAGUGAUCGGCCACAUUGGGACUGAGACACGGCCCAAACUCCUACGGGAGGCAGCAGUGGGGAAUAUUGGACAAUGGGGGAAACCCUGAUCCAGCCGACGCCGCGUGAGUGAAGAAGUAUUUCGGUAUGUAAAGCUCUAUCAGCAGGGAAGAUAAUGACAGUACCUGACUAAGAAGCCCCGGCUAACUACGUGCCAGCAGCAGC
rnacentral:rRNA from 1 species